rnacentral:rRNA from 1 species
ACGAAGGUCCCAAGCGUUGUUCGGAUUUACUGGGCGUAAAGAGUACGUAGGCGGCAGGGUAAGUCAGAUGUGAAAUCCCAGGGCUCAACCUUGGAACUGCAUCCGAUACUGCCUUGCUGGAGUAAUGGAGGGGAGUCUGGAAUUCACGGUGUAGCAGUGAAAUGCGUAGAUAUCGUGAGGAACACUAGUGGCGAAGGCGAGACUCUGGACAUUUACUGACGCUGAGGUACGAAGGCCAGGGGAGCGAAAAGG